CCCACUGGCUUCUCUGAGGAUAACAGAAUGUCACCCCCACGUCUCCUUUGAAAAUGCCUGGAUCCCUGAUCUAGAGAACUGGCUUAGAGCCCAGGCAGAAUGGAUUCACAAGAGGAAUUGGCUCCCAGCCAGGCAGCUGUUCAUCAAGGUCCACUUUACAGAAUGAUACUCACUGGAUGCUUGUGGGAAGCUAUGCAUAAAUACGUGUUGAGCCUCUACUGUGGGCCAGACCAUGUAAUAGAUGCAAAGAUAUUUAUCAGAGAAAACAUUGCCAAGGAGAAUUUAAAGUAAUAGAGAAUACAGGUAAAGAAAAAGGGAGAGGAAUGAAUCUCAAUACCAGGAUUAAAGGCUAUCUGAACAAUAGGAAUGCAAAUAUGGAUAAUUGGUAAAAUUAGGGACUAGCUAGGAUACAAGAUGCUUUUGAGAGAGGAUGAGACUAAGAGAAUGACAUUUUGAGAGUAUUGCAUUCAUGUUAGAAUGCUAAAUUCAGUGUUUCCUGUUGCCUUGGUUUUAGAUGGUGUUGCUACACAUUGACAGAGCAGAAGGAUGACAGCCAGGGAGCUAUCACCACAUCUCACAUCACUUCAGUGUAACCAGCCUGACUUCCCAAGUGCCAGAACCUCUCUUUCUUGCUGGAUAGUAUUCUUUUCUGGUUGUUGGUGUCUGCUCUGCCUACACAUCUUCAUAUCAGGCUAGAAGUGCCAAAGAAUUAACCACCCCUCACCCAGAGCAGCACUCAGUUCAUGCUAGAUAGAUUGUAGAAAAUGGUGUAUUUAUACAUAGAUGGGUAUAUAAGUGCUCCAGCCCUCUCAUUCCCAGGUGGGACAACUCGAAGAUCUGUGCUGUACACCGACUCCCAGAGUUUUCGCCCACAGUGGCUGCAGUGUAGUGGUGUGAUCUCAGCUCUCUGCAGCCUUCACCUUCCAGAUUCAAGCAAUUCUCCUGCCUCAGCCUCCUGAGUAGCUGGGACUACAGGUUUGUGCCACCACCCCCCACUAAUUUUUGUAUUUUUAGUAGAGACGGGGUUUCACCAUUUUGGCCAGGACGGUUUCCAUCUCUUGACUUUGUGAUCCACCCGCCUCAGCCACCCAAAGUGCUGAGAUUACAGGUGUGAGCCACCGCGUGUGGCCGGUUUUAAGCAGUUUUACUAGAUCCUAAGUCUCUUGAGGCUGAAAAUCAUGGCUGACCUAUCUUCCUGGUGAGAUAAUGUAAUUAGCUAUAUUCUGAAUCUGUCUCUCUCUCUCUCUCUUUCUCUGUGUGUGUGUGUGUGUGUGCGUGCAUGUGUAUGUGUGUGUGUGUAUGUGUGUGAAUGUCUUUGACAAUUAAAAACUAGUGAAAAACUUCCUCUCACUUAGCUUGUCAAAAUAAUUCAUUUUACUUUUCAUAAAAAAGUAUUGCCUGGAGUAUAACAUUUACUUUUCAAUCUGAAAUCUUAAAAAUUGCUACUUAAAAAUAGAAAAAAAGAACCCUGUGAGAUUAUACUCUAAUGAAUGUGAAAGUGCUUUGAAAUAUUUAAGGAGACGAGAGCGUCCAUGCAUGACCUCAAUGGGGUACAUGCGAGAGAUGCUCCAGGAACUUGGAAGAAAAGUAUGAAAAUAAGAGUAAGGAACUAGCACAUACUGAGCUCUCUUCUCAGACACACAGUAGGCUGGUCAAAUUAAAUGAUCCUUAACUGAAGAAAAAUGUGCCAGUUAACGGUAGGGGAGCUAGGCAUGGAAAAGAUGGUGCUUGGUUAAAACGAGAUAUAUAAAAAGGAGAGUAAAAUGGUGAAAUAAGGGUAGAAAUUGUUAAAGUCAGUGCAUUAGAGAUAUUUUGCUAAAAAAAAGGUUCAUUUUUAUCUGUUGCCAUAGAGUUACACAUAGUAUUUUCUUACCAUAAUUUGUCUCUUGUGUUUUUGGCUGUGUCUUUCUCAUUCCUUGUUCCAUCUGCUUUUGCUUUUGUUUGAAAUUUUAUCAGAAU
rnacentral:lncRNA from 13 species